UACGUAGGGAGCGAGCGUUAUCCGGAUUUACUGGGUGUAAAGGGCGCGUAGGCGGGCUGACAAGUCAGAUGUGAAAACCAGGGGCUUAACCCCUGGCCUGCAUUUGAAACUGCCAGUCUUGAGUAUCGGAGAGGCAAUCGGAAUUCCGUGUGUAGCGGUGAAAUGCGUAGAUAUACGGAAGAACACCAGUGGCGAAGGCGGAUUGCUGGACGACAACUGACGCUGAGGCGCGAGAGCGUGGGGAGCAAACAGG
rnacentral:rRNA from 1 species